CCACAGUUUCGUUUGUUUGGAGGGACACUGCCCAAGAUGGCUGCCCUGUGGAGAGAGAGGGAGAUGAAGCAUGAAAAAAUAAAGUAGCAGCUGUAAAAAAUAAAGUAGCAUGGAAGUUUGAACAUUUUUUUUAUUUUCAUAUUGGACUGGCCAUUUCGGAUUUAUGUUUGGACCUUUCCCUAAAUGGAGUACUCUACGUUUCCAGAUGAAUUAUCAGACUAUCGUGUUUAAUGGACUGAAGUUUCAUCCUGGACAUUGGCUCGGGCCUGCUGCUCAAGGUUGUCCGGAGCACCUGCCUGACAGAAAUACAAUGCUGGGCGACUUAUGA
rnacentral:lncRNA from 1 species